AGAGUUUGAUCCUGGCUCAGGACAAACGCUGGCGGCAUGCCUAACACAUGCAAGUCGAACGGACGGAGGAAAGAGAUCUCUUCGGAGUGACCUUUCCCGAGUUAGUGGCGGAUGGGUGAGUAACGCGUGAGUGACCUGCCCAACAGUGGGGAAUAACAGUGAGAAAUCAUUGCUAAUACCGCAUACCUUACAAGUGCUUCAUGGUACCUGUAAGAAAGACGGCCUUCGUGCUGUCGCUGUUGGAUGGACUCGCGUCUGAUUAGCCAGUUGGUGGGGUAACGGCCUACCAAAGCAAUGAUCAGUAGCCGGCCUGAGAGGGUGAACGGCCACAUUGGGACUGAGACACGGCCCAAACUCCUACGGGAGGCAGCAGUGGGGAAUCUUCCGCAAUGGGCGCAAGCCUGACGGAGCAAUGCCGCGUGAGUGAAGAAGGCCUUCGGGUUGUAAAACUCUGUCCUCAUCCAAGAGAAGGGAAGGUAGUAACUGACCUUUCCAGGACGGUAGAUGAGGAGGAAGCCCCGGCUAACUAUGUGCCAGCAGCCGCGGUAAAACAUAGGGGGCAAGCGUUGUCCGGAAUCACUGGGCGUAAAGGGCGCGCAGGCGGUCUGUUAAGUCAGAUGUGAAAGGUUAGGGCUCAACCCUGAACGUGCAUCUGAUACUGGCAGACUUGAGUAUGGAAGAGGUAAGUGGAAUUCCUAGUGUAGCGGUGAAAUGCGUAGAUAUUAGGAGGAACACCAGUGGCGAAGGCGACUUACUGGGCCAUAACUGACGCUGAGGCGCGAAAGCGUGGGGAGCAAACAGGAUUAGAUACCCUGGUAGUCCACGCCGUAAACG
rnacentral:rRNA from 1 species